rnacentral:rRNA from 1 species
GUGGGGAAUCUUGCGCAAUGGGCGAAAGCCUGACGCAGCCAUGCCGCGUGAAUGAUGAAGGUCUUAGGAUUGUAAAAUUCUUUCACCGGGGACGAUAAUGACGUUACCCGGAGAAGAAGCUCCGGCUAACUUCGUGCCAGCAGCCGCGGUAAUACGAAGGGGGCUAGCGUUGCUCGGAAUUACUGGGCGUAAAGGGCGCGUAGGCGGACAGCUUAGUCAGAGGUGAAAGCCCAGGGCUCAACCUUGGAAUUGCCUUUGAUACUGGCUGUCUUGAGUUUGGGAGAGGUGAGUGGAACUCCGAGUGUAGAGGUGAAAUUCGUAGAUAUUCGGAAGAACACCAGUGGCGAAGGCGACUCACUGGCCCAAUACUGACGCUGAGGCGCGAAAGCGUGGGGAGCAAACAGGAUUAGAUACCCCUGUAGUCC